AAUUUUUUAUUAAAAACAGAAUCAUAGUUCACGUACUACAUAGAUCAAAAUAACACGAGUUACAUAGAAACUUGAUGAAACAAGUAGCAUCGGCACUAAGGACUAAAUUAACAAAUGAGUUGUCUUGGCCCCCAAACAUAUUUGUAUAGCUUCCGUCUUCAUUAAAGGAAGGAACAUUUUUUUGUCGUCUCUUCUCCUAAUUUCUUGAAGGCGACUAAAUUUGUUGUAACGCUUCUUUGUCCAUCGCGGUUUUCUUGAAAGGUCACUUGCAUAUUAUCCUGUCAAAAGCUAGUAUAGGAUUAAAAUUUACCACAAACUCGUAAACAGAUCAAAAGAAGAUGGCAUGUUGUGAUUAUAAGGCUAGUAGUGACUUGCUAUAUCGUGCAUGUGCGGCUAACAUACUUAUAGACACAUUACAACUAUCAGCACAUAUAUAAAUCCAUGCAGAUCCAUUACUUGCGAGCAAGAGCAAUUUUUGUUUAUUUACAGUGGGAAGACAGAGAGGGGAGGUGAGCAAUUUCACUGGUACCUAUUAGCAUCUAGAGAGAAUGACAACUGUUUCAGAUUAUGCUCGAUUCUGGCAUGAGCGUUACUCCACCUGCAAAACAAUAAUCGAUUGGCUGAUGAGGGGUAAUCACACAGGGAACAAACUUGUCGCCUAUGUAGCACUUUGGCACACACGAAACAAUGCAGAAUCGUGUACGGUGUGGAUUGUAACAAUCCAAAAUUUUGCAACAACGUUUCAAAAAAUAUAUUUGGAACAACAUGGUUGAGGAGGAAGAUGGAGUCGCAACUAUCGUGCGUUGUUGGAACCCGAUGGAGGGAGUGCCGCAUUGUUUAUCCUGUGUAGAGAGGAAUGAUGUUAGAUCGGCAUCCUGUGAAUCGGAGGCAAAGACGAACCAGAGGCGGCGGGAAUAGGGCUUACUUGGAGAGACAGAAAAACAAGACGGCGGCUGGAUCGUCGAUGCCUCAUAGUUCUCUGCUAUGACUGGCACUCGUACCACGAGUGAGAUAAGGGAAAAGUGGAUCUGGACUGGCAAGAAAGACGGUGUGGCGGUGGCGGUGUUCGUGACAGCCAGAUCCGUGUGGCAUCUGGUCCUCCUGAAGUGUGGAGGCGUUGGUGGCGUCGAGUCCCAUGGCGAUCUGGCCGGGCGGCAAUGACAUCCGGGGCGGUCAGAUCGGUUGUGAGGUCGAAGGUGGAUGAACGCCCUGUCAGCGGCCUUCGCAACUUGCAGGAAGGGGGGCGAGUUUGAGGCGCUGGAGUGAACGAGGGAUAAUGUGGAGAGGUGGCCAGGUAUGUCGCUCGCAGCCGAGGAUGACGCCGGUGCUGCCAGAUCCAGAUUUCAGCACGGUGGUGGCGUCGUCUAAUCUACUAGUGCUAUAUAGCGAUUUGGCUUUGUAUAUCCAGAGAAGAGACGUGGAUCGUGG
rnacentral:lncRNA from 1 species